GCGAGCCCCACGAUGAGGUUUCUUACUCUGAGAGUGUGUGAUGGACGUCGGCUUCUUUCGCUCCUGAUCCUCGUGGCUAUACAACACCUCGCCAUCCCAGUUUGGAUAUCUGGGUGCAUGCGAAGGACUCUGCAGCUCUCAAGGUGUAUGUUGGAGUUCUGGUGAAUGAGCCAAUCCUGGCAGGCAAACACAGCAAUGAAUGAAAAGGGCAGUCAGCACAAGGCAUGAAUAACAACAUACUAAGAUUCACAGUCACAGUUGCCGCAGGAUUUGGAUAUUCCUCAGGAUUCAUCAAAACAGACACACUAAAAGUACUUGUUUCCUUGCCGAAGCGCGACAAGUCCUGAUGGCAAUCACUCCAAGGAGCCCCAAUGAAAUGGUUUUUCGAAUAAAUGUUCUUGUUGACUUGCUUCUGCUAGGCCUGGAGGUCAGGAAGGAUCAGG